rnacentral:rRNA from 1 species
AGGCCUUUACUGACGCUAAAGCUCGAAGGUGCGGGUAUCGAACAGGAUUAGAUACCCUGGUAGUCCGCACGGUAAACGAUGGAUGCCCGCUGUUUGCGAUAUACUGUGAGCGGCCAAGAGAAAUCGUUAAGCAUCCCACCUGGGGAGUACGCCGGCAACGGUGAAACUCAAAGGAAUUGACGGGGGCCCGCACAAGCGGAGGAACAUGUGGUUUAAUUCGAUGAUACGCGAGGAACCUUACCCGGGCUUGAACUGCAGGGGAACGAUCCAGAGAUGGUGAGGUCAGCAAUGACCCCUGUGGAGGUGCUGCAUGGUUGUCGUCAGCUCGUGCCGUGAGGUGUCGGCUUAAGUGCCAUAACGAGCGCAACCCCUUUCAUUAGUUGCCAUCACUUCGGGUGGGCACUCUGGUGAUACUGCCACCGUAAGGUGUGAGGAAGGUGGGGAUGACGUCAAAUCAGCACGGCCCUUACGUCCGGGGCUACACACGUGUUACAAUGGGUGAUACAGAGGGCCGGUGCAUGGCAAUGUGCAUCAAAUCUUAAAAGUCAUCCUCAGUUCGGAUUGGGGUCUGCAACCCGACCCCAUGAAGCUGGAUUCGCUA